CGUGUAGGCGGUCAAGUAAGUGGAAUGUGAAAUCCCUCGGCUUACCCGAGGACCUGCAUCCCAAACUGCUUGGCUUGAGUACGGGAGAGGAUGAGGGAAUUCCUGGUGUAGCGGUGAAAUGCGUAGAUAUCAGGAGGAACACCGGUGGCGAAGGCGCUCAUCUGGCCCGAUACUGACGCUGAUGCGCGAAAGCUAGGGGAGCGAACGGGAUUAGAUACCCCGGUAGUCCUAGCCGUAAACGGUGAUCACUAGGUGUUGGAGGCAUCGACCCCUCCAGUGCCGCAGCUAACGCAUUAAGUGAUCCGCCUGGGGAGUACGGCCGCAAGGUUGAA
rnacentral:rRNA from 1 species